GACAUUUUCUACGUUCAUUUACUUAUGACGUAUUAGUGUUGAAAUGUUUCUCAAGUAAUACUUACACGCACAAUAUUGUAUUUUGCUGGCUGAAGAAGAGGAAGAAGUAAAGGAAAACGGAAAAAAGGAACUUCAACCGUGCGGUAAAUUUACUUCUUUCCUCUGCAUGGAACCCUGUCUCACCCUCUGAUUUACACAAGCUGGGAAUCCUGACGUUCCUGAAAAUACUGUAGACUGGACAGCAUUCUGACCAGGCAAGUGAAGUGGACAACAGUUUUAACAAGUGCAAAAAAAAAAAAUAAUAAUUCCAACACCCUGCUUCAUUAUAAAAGGCUCGGAGGUGCCAUCCUCUCCAUUUUUUUUUUUUUUUUGGAGGAGCUAAGUAACAACAAUCACGAUGACAUUUCCUUUUUUUUUUUUUUUUGUCCAGGACUCCCAGUCAGAACAGAUCGGCU